rnacentral:rRNA from 1 species
UACAGAGGUCUCAAGCGUUGUUCGGAUUCAUUGGGCGUAAAGGGUGCGUAGGUGGCGAGGUUAGUCAGGUGUGAAAUCUCGGGGCUCAACCCCGAAACUGCACUUGAUACUGCCUUGCUAGAGUACUGGAGAGGAGAUUGGAAUUUACGGUGUAGCAGUGAAAUGCGUAGAUAUUGGGAGGAACACCAGUGGCGAAGGCGGCUCACUGGACCGGAACUGACGCUGAUGCGCGAAAGCGUGGGGAGCAAACGGG